UACGAAGGUGGCAAGCGUUGUUCGGAAUUACUGGGCGUAAAGCGUGCGCAGGCGGUCUGCUAAGAGAGAUGUGAAAUCCCCGGGCUUAACCUGGGAACUGCGUUUCUAACUGGCAGGCUUGAGUGUGGCAGAGGGGGGUGGAAUUCCACGUGUAGCAGGUGAAAUGCGUAGAUAUGCGGAGGAACACCGAUGGCGAAGGCAAUCCCUGGACCU
rnacentral:rRNA from 1 species